UAAGGAUCUAUGAUGCUAUGUUGAAACUGCGUUAUCUAUCUGAAUUCCUAAAAAGGAAUUGAAGAUAAUGAUAAUAUGCUGAGAUCUUAG